UGGAAAAAGCAAAUUGUGAAAUCUAUUAUGGUAUUUCCGACCUCAAUGUAAUGCUGGUUUUAUGUUGGUUUUUAGUCUGAUGUCCAGUAGUCGACAAUAUGCUGCUACAUAAUGCAGCUGAUAGGUAAAGGACAAUAUGAGAAAGCAGCAACAGACAGAUCUGGAUAGGGAGAGGUCUGGAGCUAGUAGCUAGCAGUCUAACCCAAGACUGAAGUCCUCUUGUUUUUUAUAAGCAUGCAAAGAACAGAGCCAUCAAAGCGUUCGGUAGAUGAAUCAAGAACAAAACUGUCCCGGGAGCUCGAGAACACAGAAUAGAUUGUUAUUGAAAGUGAAGUAACAAUUAUCUUGCUGAAUAGAUGACACUUUGGUUAUUUCCUGACAUGGACAUAGAUGGCAGCAGAGAGCAUUGUGGUCAGACUGGAAAGACCUACACAACUUCCUCUGGGGCAUAGAGCAGCUGAUAAGUACUGG